UGUUUAUUUAUCUCUUUAAAAGUGAGGGUGAAUGUGGUUAAUGUGAACAUGAAAAUAGUGUUAGGAAUGUGGUAGUUUAAGCAAUUUUUAAAAUUAUUUAUUAAAACUAAUGAAUCAACCUAAAAUCAUCAAAAAUAUGACAAAUAAGCUUCUAAAAAUAAAUAAAAACAUGCAAAUAAGAAAAAUAAUAUGAUAAAUAAGCAAAUAACCUAAAAUCAUGGAGAACAUGACUAGGAAGCUAAUUCAUUUCUCAAAUAAUAGUAUA
rnacentral:lncRNA from 1 species